rnacentral:rRNA from 1 species
ACAUGCCCGUCGUAUUCCCCUGAAAGGGGGCAGUCAGUUCGACUGCACUGUGCACAGGUGCUGCAUGGCUGUCGUCAGCUCGUGCCGUGAGGUGUUGGGUUAAGUCCCGCCACGAGCGCCACCCUUAUAGCUAGUUCCCACUUGGUCGAGAGGUCCGAAGCACUCUAGCCAGCCUGCCCGUGACACAGCGGAGGAAGGUGGGGAUGACGUCAAGUCAGUAUGGUCCUUAUGCCUGGGGCUGCACACGUGCUACAAUGGUCGGUACAGAGGGACGCAAGACCGCGAGGUGGAGCAAAUCCCCAAAACUGGCCUCAGUUCGGAUUGGAGUCUGCAACUCGACUCCAUGAAGUCGGAAUCGCUAGUAAAGGCGUAUCAGCUACGACGCCUUGCAUACGUUCCCGGGCCUUGUACACACCGCCCGUCACAUCAUGAAAGCCGACUGCACCCGAAGUCGCUGAUCCCAUUCGUUUUUCGCAAAGGCA